rnacentral:rRNA from 1 species
CCUACGGGUGGCUGCAGUGAGGAAUAUUGGGCAAUGCCCGAAAGGGUGACCCAGCAACGCCGCGUGGAGGAUGAAUGCCGUAAGGUUGUAAACUCCUGUUAGAGGGGAAGAAAAAUCUCGAUCAAAUCGGGAACUGACUGUACCCUCAGAGAAAGCCCCGGCUAACUACGUGCCAGCAGCCGCGGUAAUACGUAGGGGGCAAGCGUUGUCCGGAUUCACUGGGGCGCAAGGGCGCGCAGAAGGCAUAGCAGAAAUCCUACAGCGUAACUGUAGAACUGCCUUUGAGACGGCGAAUCUUGAGUACGGAAGAGAGAGAUGGAAUUCCAGGUGUAGUGGUGAAAGACGUAGAUAUCUGGAAGAACACCAGUGGCGAAGGCGGUCUCUUGGUCCUAUACUGACGCUAAGGCGCGAAAGCGUGGGGAGCAAACAGGAUUAGAUACCCUGGUAGUC